CCUACGGGUGGCAGCAGUGAGGAAUAUUGGUCAAUGGACGAGAGUCUGAACCAGCCAAGUAGCGUGAAGGAUGACUGCCCUAUGGGUUGUAAACUUCUUUUAUAUGGGAAUAAAAUGUUCCACGUGUGGGAUUUUGUAUGUACCAUAUGAAUAAGGAUCGGCUAACUCCGUGCCAGCAGCCGCGGUAAUACGGAGGAUCCGAGCGUUAUCCGGAUUUAUUGGGUUUAAAGGGAGCGUAGGUGGAUUGUUAAGUCAGUUGUGAAAGUUUGCGGCUCAACCGUAAAAUUGCAGUUGAAACUGGCAGUCUUGAGUACAGUAGAGGUGGGCGGAAUUCGUGGUGUAGCGGUGAAAUGCUUAGAUAUGACGAAGAACUCCGAUUGCGAAGGCAGUUCACUGGACUGCAACUGACACUGAGGCUCGAAAGUGUGGGUAUCAAACAGGAUUAGAUACCCGUGUAGUC
rnacentral:rRNA from 1 species